rnacentral:rRNA from 1 species
UACGGGGGGAGCAAGCGUUGUUCGGAUUUACUGGGCGUAAAGGGCGCGUAGGCGGCGUGACAAGUCACUUGUGAAAUCUCCGGGCUUAACCCGGAGCGGCCAAGUGAUACUGUCGUGCUAGAGUGCGGAAGGGGCUACUGGAAUUCUCGGUGUAGCGGUGAAAUGCGUAGAUAUCGAGAGGAACACCAGUGGCGAAAGCGGCUUCCUGGUCCAGCACCGACGUUCAGGCACGAAAGCGUGGGGAGCAAACAGG